rnacentral:rRNA from 1 species
GACGAACGCUGGCGGCGUGCUUAACACAUGCAAGUCGAACGAAGUGGCGAACGGGUGAGUAACGCGUAAUCAACCUGCCCUUCAGUGGGGGACAACAGUUGGAAACGACUGCUAAUACCGCAUACUGAAGGAGGGGAUUGCGUCUGAUUAGCUAGUUGGAGGGGUAACGGCCCACCAAGGCGAUGAUCAGUAGCCGGGCUGGAGAGAUGAACCGCCACAUUGGGACUGAUGCACGGCCCAGACUCCUAAGGGAGGCAGCAGUGGGGAAUCUUCCGAAAUGGACGAAAGUCUGACGGAGCAACGCCGCGUGAGUGAUGACGGCCUUCGGGUUGUAAAGCUCUGUUAAUCGGGACGCGGUACCGGAAUAGAAAGCCACGGCUAACUACGUGCCAGCAGCCGCGGUAAUUC